rnacentral:tRNA from 1 species
GGGCCUGUAGCUCAGAUGGUUGAGAGCGCACGCCUGAUAAGCGUGAGGUCAGUAGUUCAACUCCUUACUCAGGCCA